rnacentral:rRNA from 1 species
UUGGAGGGCAAGUCUGGUGCCAGCAGCCGCGGUAAUUCCAGCUCCAAUAGCGUAUAUUAAAGUUGUUGCAGUUAAAAAGCUCGUAGUUGAAUUUCGGGGUCAGUAGGUUGGUCAUGCCACUGGUAUGUACUGGUCUCACUGAUUCCUCCUUCCUGAUGAGCCGUAAUGCCAUUAAUUUGGUGUUGCGAGGAAUCUGGACUGUUACUUUGAAAAAAUUAGAGUGUUUAAAGCAAGCUAACGCUUGAAUACAUUAGCAUGGAAUAAUGAAAUAGGACGUUCGAUCCUAUUUUGUUGGUUUCUAGGAUUGACGUAAUGAUUAAUAGGGAUAGUUGGGGGCAUUAGUAUUCAAUUGUCAGAGGUGAACUCUUGGAUUUAUUGAAGACUAACUACUGCGAAAGCAUUUGCCAAGGAUGUUUUCAUUAAUCAAGAACGAAAGUUAGGGAAUCGAAGACGAUCAGAUACCGUCGUAGUCUUAACCAUAAACUAUGCCGACUAGGGAUCGGAUGAUGUUAAUUUUUUAAUGACUCAUUCGGCGCCUUACGGGAAACCAAAGUGUUUGGGUUC